UAGACUUGGGCCUCGGCUUAAAAUUUUAUUUAAAAUCAAGUUCUAACCUGAUUCAUAGACAUCUUUAUUUUAGAUCCAUCAACCUUUGCAAGGUUGUUUACAAAAUUAUUGUCAAGGUAAUGGCGAAAAACCUUUGUAAUGGCCCAAAUUUGCCCGGCCCGAUACAAAUAUUAGAACCCAAAUAAAUAAAUAAAUAAACCAAAUAAAUGUCCAGCUUAUUACAACCAAGCCCAAACCCAAUUACAAAACCCAAAAUUCCCAAGCCUAAAUUGUUAACCCAAUACUUAACCCUCCAGGCCCAAAUCACUUAGCCCAAAUUAGCCUAACAUGGGGACAUCAGAAACCCUAGGCAACAGUUACCGCGCCGCAAUCGAGCACGAGCCCCCUCUCGUGUGUGUGCGCGAGCCUCCGUACGAGCACGCCCCUCCCACGCAUAGCCCCCGUACAUGCUGGCCCUCGUAUGACCAUGUACCUGCAAAGGACCAACAAACAAGGAAAAAACAGAACGCAACAAACGCAAAAGGAAUAGCAGAGAAAAAUAGGAGGAAUUUAGAAAAAUUACCUGUAAAAUUUCUAUUGUAUUUCCGGCUAUAUAAAGUUGUUUUCGAUUUUUGUAAAGGGAUCCCCUUUUUUUGGAACACGCACACUGAAUGUAAAAAACACACGCAUUUUCAAUACAAUUGGAAGAAAGGUGACUUCCCAGUAUUUUUCUUUUUUACUGGUUAUCAGACUCAUUUUCUUUUAUUUCUUUUUUCUAGUUUUUAUGUUCUUCAAUCUUUGUUUAAAAUAAAAACAAUAAAAAGGAGAGAGAGAGGCAUACCUUGACUGGACCUUUCGCUCUCCCUCCGUUGUCAUCGGAGUUUGGAGCAGGGUUCGGGGAGCCUUCGAAGGAGGCGAUGAUCCACCGAGCGGCGCAGAGGGAGAGUGUGCUUAGGUUUUCUUUUAUUUAUUUUUUUCUUUUUUCCUUCAAAUGGUAGAUUAG
rnacentral:lncRNA from 1 species